UUGAUGAAGGACGUGGCAAGCUGCGAUAAGCUUGGGGGAGUUGCAUGCAAGCUUUGAUCCCAAGAUUUCUGAAUGUGCCGAGAGGCAGAAUCACGCCGGGAAUUGAAACAUCUUAGUACCGGUAGGAAAAGAAAAUAAUUAUUAUUCCCUUAUUAGCAGAGAGCGAAAAGGGAACUGGGCAAACUGAAUCUUCUUUUGAAAGAGAGAUAGAGAUGUGGUGAAGAUAAGCAACUAAGUUAUUGAGGAGAAGUUUCCUGGAAAGGAACACCUUAGAGGGUGAUAGUCCCGUACUCGAAAAUAAUAUGUUGCUCUUCAAAGAGUAGGGCGUCCUGGAUUGGGCGUCUGAAUAUUGGAGGAUUAACUCCGAACCCUAAAUAUAACCAAAGUCCGAUAGUGCACUAGUACCGCGAGGGAAAGCUGAAAAGUAUUCUUAACAGAAGGUUAAAAGA
rnacentral:rRNA from 1 species